GUGGGGAAUUUUGGACAAUGGGCGCAAGCCUGAUCCAGCAAUGCCGCGUGCAGGAAGAAGGCCUUCGGGUUGUAAACUGCUUUUGUACGGAACGAAACGGUCCGGGUUAAUACCCUGGGCUAAUGACGGUACCGUAAGAAUAAGCACCGGCUAACUUCGUGCCAGCAGCCGCGGUAAUACGUAGGGUGCAAGCGUUAAUCGGAAUUACUGGGCGUAAAGCGUGCGCAGGCGGUUUUGUAAGACAGGCGUGAAAUCCCCGGGCUCAACCUGGGGAUUGCGCUUGUGACUGCAAGGCUGGAGUGCGGCAGAGGGGGAUGGAAUUCCGCGUGUAGCAGUGAAAUGCGUAGAUAUGCGGAGGAACACCGAUGGCGAAGGCAAUCCCCUGGGCCUGCACUGACGCUCAUGCACGAAAGCGUGGGGAGCAAACAGGAUUAGAUACCCGGGUAGUCC
rnacentral:rRNA from 1 species